rnacentral:rRNA from 1 species
GUGGGGAAUUUUGGACAAUGGGGGCAACCCUGAUCCAGCCAUUCCGCGUGAGUGAAGAAGGCCUUCGGGUUGUAAAGCUCUUUCAGCAGGAACGAAACGGUACGCGCUAACAUCGUGUGCUAAUGACGGUACCUGCAGAAGAAGCACCGGCUAACUACGUGCCAGCAGCCGCGGUAAUACGUAGGGUGCGAGCGUUAAUCGGAAUUACUGGGCGUAAAGGGUGCGCAGGCGGUUUUGUAAGUCAGAUGUGAAAUCCCCGGGCUUAACCUGGGAAUUGCGUUUGAAACUACAAAACUAGAGUGUAGCAGAGGGAGGUGGAAUUCCAUGUGUAGCAGUGAAAUGCGUAGAGAUAUGGAAGAACAUCGAUGGCGAAGGCAGCCUCCUGGGUUAACACUGACGCUCAUGCACGAAAGCGUGGGGAGCAAACAGGAUUAGAAACCCUAGUAGUCC